UACGGGGGGGGCAAGCGUUGUUCGGAAUUACUGGGCGUAAAGGGCUCGUAGGCGGCCAACUAAGUCAGACGUGAAAUCCCUCGGCUUAACCGGGGAACUGCCUCUGAUACUGGAUGGCUUGAGAUUGGGAGAGGGAUGCGGAAUUCCAGGUGUAGCGGUGAAAUGCGUAGAUAUCUGGAGGAACACCGGUGGCGAAUGCGGCAUCCUGGACCAACACUGACGCUGAGGAGCGAAAGCCAGGGGAGCAAACGGG
rnacentral:rRNA from 1 species